GAUGAACGCUGGCGGCGUGCCUAAUACAUGCAAGUCGAGCGAACGGACGAGAAGCUUGCUUCUCUGAUGUUAGCGGCGGACGGGUGAGUAACACGUGGAUAACCUACCUAUAAGACUGGGAUAACUUCGGGAAACCGGAGCUAAUACCGGAUAAUAUUUUGAACCGCAUGGUUCAAAGGUGAAAGACGGUCUUGCUGUCACUUAUAGAUGGAUCCGCGCUGCAUUAGCUAGUUGGUAAGGUAACGGCUUACCAAGGCAACGAUGCAUAGCCGACCUGAGAGGGUGAUCGGCCACACUGGAACUGAGACACGGUCCAGACUCCUACGGGAGGCAGCAGUAGGGAAUCUUCCGCAAUGGGCGAAAGCCUGACGGAGCAACGCCGCGUGAGUGAUGAAGGUCUUCGGAUCGUAAAACUCUGUUAUUAGGGAAGAACAUAUGUGUAAGUAACUGUGCACAUCUUGACGGUACCUAAUCAGAAAGCCACGGCUAACUACGUGC
rnacentral:rRNA from 1 species